rnacentral:rRNA from 1 species
GACGAACCAUGCAAACGUUAUUCGGAUUCACUGGGCUUAAAGCGUGCGUAGGCGGUCUUGUUAGUCAGGUGUGAAAGCCCUCAGCCUAACUGAGGAAUUGCGCUUGAUACUGCAUGACUAGAGAGAGAUAGAGGUGGGUGGAACUGAUGGUGGAGCGGUGAAAUGCGUUGAUAUCAUCAGGAACACCAGUGGCGAAGGCGACCCACUGGGUCUCUUCUGACGCUGAGGUACGAAAGCUAGGGUAGCGAACGGG